GGGGAUUUAGCUCAGUGGUAUAAGCACCUGCCUGGUAAGCACAAGGUCAUGAGUUCAAUCCCCA
rnacentral:tRNA from 1 species